GUGCUCACUUCGGCAGUACAUACACUAAAGUUGGAAUGAUACAGAAAUUAGUGUGGCCCUGUGCAAGGAUGACACGCAAAUUUGUGAAGCAUUCCAUAGUUCU
rnacentral:snRNA from 1 species